GUCCGCCUCUCUUCUUCCUUUCUUACGCUCUUCCCUUUGCAUCCGUUGGCCGGCAUAGCCCUCGCCAUUCCUUGUCCCGCCAUAUGAAUGGCGGCUUCUUGAUGGAGGAUAGAUGGAUGGAUGGGUUCCGCUGUUCCUUCCCUUCCGCCGAUAAAGGCAGCACCUUCGGUAGCGGUUCCGUGUUUAUUCCACCCAAAGAAAUCCCCACCUUCUCUACAUCCAUCGCUGGCACUGCUUCAUCCCGAGGCAGCGCAUUCUACCUCGGAUUAAUCUCUGUUGGUUGUUGAUGCAGAUUCGGCGCUCGUCCUAC
rnacentral:lncRNA from 1 species